rnacentral:lncRNA from 1 species
GUCAAAUAGUUUUUUUCUCUUUUUUUUUUGUGCCAAAUACAUAAAAAAUUUCUAACAAACAAUAAUCAAAUAUUUCUAGCUAAAUGGCAAAAGACUUGGUGGUUGAUAUUCGAGACCCAAGUUCGAAUCCUAGUUGAUUCAUAUUUUUAGCUAAUUUAUUUUUAAAUGAAAUAAACGAAGCGAAUAGCGUGCUACCUUUCUCUCAAAAAAAAAAAAACAAUAAUCAAAUAUUUCUAGCUAAAUGGCAAAAGACUUGGUGGUUGAUAUUCGAGACCCAAGUUCGAAUCCUAGUUGAUUCAUAUUUUUAGCUAAUUUAUUUUUAAAUGAAAUAAACGAAGCGGGUAGCGUGCUACCUAUCUCUCAAAAAAAAAAAAAACAAUAAUCAAAUAUAUUGUUUGGUGCUACCCGUUUAUUUAUACCAAAACAUUGGAUGAAGGCUUCAACUAGUGUCUUGUGUAGCCACACUUUUAUAUUCUUUACAAACAUUGCACUAUACUCUAGUUUUUAUUUUAUUAUUAAAAUUUGUCGUUAAAUAGAAUUAUGUCAUAUUUAACAAAAAAAAAAAAGUUCAGUUUGCCCCACUGUGUAGGGCUGGCAAAUGAGCAAGCCAGCUCGCUUUCGGCUCAAUAUUCAGCUUGCUCGAGCUCGGCUCAAAAUUAAAUGAGCCGAGCUUGAAUUAAAAAAAAAUACGAAAUUCAUUUCAAGCCAAGCUUAAGUAUUACUAGGCUCGCUCGAAUUAGACUCGAAAAAUUCGAAUAUAUAUAUAUAGUCCGGUUGGAAUACUAUCGAUAGUACCAAGCGUUUAGUGCUAUCAAGUUUUCCACCAUUUGAUUUAACUCUUUCACUAUUAUUACCCGUUAGAUUAUACUAUUAAACCAAUAACUCACUUAACCUUAGGGGACCUACAUCAUCUUAACCGUACAUUUUUUUUUCAUCCAACAUCCGAAAACCUAAUAGCACCAAUAGCUUGGUGCUAUUGAUAGUAUUCCAGCCUAUAUAUAUAUAUAUAUAUAUAUAUAUAUAUAUAUAUAUAUAUAUAUAUAUAUAUGUGCUNUAUAUAUAUAUAUAUAUAUAUAUAUAUAUAGUCCGGCUACGGUGCUUGUAAAAGCACCAAGUAUUUGCUGCUUGUAAAUUUUUUACCGUUAUAUUUAUAUCUCUAAUCAUUUUUAACCAUUAAAUUAUACUAUUCAACCAACCACCCACUCAACCCUAGGGGGCCCACAUCAUCCUAACCGCACAUCCCUUAAUUCAAGGGCUAAAAAUGUACAAGCACCAAUAACUUGGUACUUUUAAAAGCAUAGGAGCUCAAUUUUAUAUAUAUAUAUAUAUAUAUAUAUAUAUAUAUAUAGAUAGAGAGAGAGAGAGAGAGAGAGAGAGAGAGAGAGAGAGAGAACUAGGCUAAUAUACUAUUAAUAGCACCAAGUCAUUGAUGCUACCAAGUUUUUGGCUAUUGGAUUAAGAGAUAUGCGGUUAGGAUGAUGUGGGCCCCCUAGGGUUGAGUCGGUGGUUGGUUGAAUAGUAUGAUCUAACGAAUGAAAAUGAUCACAAGGGUAGAUCUAACGGCGGAAAACUUGGUAGCACCAAGUGCUUCGUGCUAUUAAUAGCAUAGUAGCCGGACUAUAUAUAUAUAUAUAUAACUAGGUUACUAUGCUAUUAAUAGCACCAAGUCAUUGGUGCUACCAAGUUUGGCCAUUGGAUUAAGAGAUGUGUGGUUAGGAUGAUGUGGG